GCAGGAUUUCCAACUUCAACCAAUUUCCACGAUUAAACUAGAUAGCGUUUUAACCUCAGAAGGAUUUUUUUAUGCUCAAAAUUAAGUCAAAAAUCACCCAAAUUUUUGUUCAUCAUGGAACAUUGGAUAAGCUCGAAGAAGGGGCAUCCCAUCUCAUGGGAUGCGAAACCUAUUUCUGCACAUAAAGAUUGCACCCACGCGCAAG
rnacentral:lncRNA from 1 species